CGUAGGGGGCAAGCGUUGUCCGGAUUUAUUGGGCGUAAAGAGCGUGCAGGCGGCCAGGUAGGUCUGCUGUGAAAACUCGAGGCUCAACCUCGAGAUGUCGGCGGAAACCAUCUGGCUAGAGUCCGGAAGAGGAGAAUGGAAUUCCCGGUGUAGCGGUGAAAUGCGCAGAUAUCGGGAAGAACACCCGUGGCGAAGGCGGUUCUCUGGGACGGUACUGACGCUGAGACGCGAAAGCGUGGGGAGCGAACAGGAUUAGAUACCCUGGUAGUCCACGCCGUAAACGAUGGGAACUAGGUGUGGGCGGUGUCGACUCCGUCCGUGCCGAAGCUAACGCAUUAAGUUCCCCGCCUGGGGAGUACGGCCGCAAGGCUA
rnacentral:rRNA from 1 species